UCCAAUACUCUCUACAAGCGGCUUUCCUUUUUGAAAGCCAAUCCCCGCCCAAUUUCCUUAAACGAGGGUGAAGCCCACGAACAAUCUACAUCUAGGGCACUUGCACUGCGUGCCACCUAUCCUACUACAAUUGAGCCGUGGAAAAAUUACAACCCAAAAUUAGGAAAAAAUUAAGGGGGGAAAAAGAUCUACAGAUGCCUAUAUUUUACAGACAUUCCUCCGGACGAAGUAUUACUUGAAAACAAACUACUCCGCAGACGAUUAAACCAUGAUACUUUCAUCUCCCCAGAGCCCGUGCACUGAACGUCACCUUCCUCCUCGCUGCUAAAGAGGGUUUGGUCCGAGCAGUC
rnacentral:lncRNA from 1 species